rnacentral:misc_RNA from 1 species
GCUCUGUGGAGAACCACCGUAGAUACAUUCCUGGACUCGCUGACCCGACACCGCCACCUCCCUUCACUCCCUUAGAAACGCAUAGAACAGCGAGUUUUGCUUUUGCGUGCGUAAGGGGGCGCGCGCUUAGGUGCCCAUCUUCGUGUAGGGGAGAGGCUGCUGGGCGUUUUUCCUUGAUUUUUACGCGGACGGUUGCAGCUGCUUGUGAUGCGCACACGUAUACGCAUACAGCAUCUCUCUUUUCUCACGCGUGCACUUGGCCAUCAUCGCAUUUUUUACCGGUUGGAAGCCUCACACCGGGGGACUAGGGGUGCCGGGGAGGGGGCGGCAGACCUUGGUCACACAUUCUCAUGUACAGUGGGAACUUCUCUUGAAGCGUAAUCUUUUUUUUUUUCGUUGCCUUUGAACGCCAUUCAACGUUGCUGGGCGGCAUCACAGACGUGGUGGAUGGGUUACUCACCCUUUUGGAACGCAUACACGCUCAGACAUACGUGGAAAAGAAACGCCGGCGGUGGAGACGCCGUUCUUGCUUUCAUUUGAUUUCUCUUUUAGUAUUCGUUGGGGACAUUUUCUUUUUUCUCUUGUUUCUUCUGCUGCGGUUGUUUUGCUUCGCUGAUUCCAAGCCGUUGGUCCCCCUCUCCCGCUCGAUAAAACUACAUACACCGCCUACUCGCGCGCGCAUCGGGACACAACAGAAAGCGAACGCACACACACACACACACACACACACACACAGACAGACACACACACAAGACGCACAGAAGAAGAGAGCGGAGGCGCGGCACCGAUUGCAGCAGCAUGGCCUCGUCCAUCACGCCGGUAGCCUUGCCGAGCAGCGCUCUCCUCAAUCCCAAGGAGGCGGCUGCGUUUUACGAGUCCGUGUGCCGUAGCGAAGGCGUCUUUAUCCAGUCGACGUUCCUCAAGCAGCUGCUGCUCGGCUCCGUGAUCAUCCAGUUUGAAAAUGGCUACCUUGGCGAGAGUGGGGUGGGCCCCAUCAUUCGAACACUUCAGUGCACACCACUUCGUGCUCUGCUCCUCGCAAAAUGUGCCUUGAGUACGGAGGACAUGAAGAUAGUGUGUGCCGGCCUUGCGCAGCACCCGCAGCUGGAGAAGAUCGACAUCCGUGGUGUUCCCUUGACCAUCGGCGGGGCCAAGGAACUGCUGCACCUCGUGACGCAUAACACGCGCAUUACAGAGGUGCUGAUGGACGAGUCGGUGCCAAAGUACGUUGCCAUUCAGCAGCAAUGCAACCGCCACGCCGAGGCCACGCACCAAAUCAGCGAGUGUAUGAUCUGCGGAGCGGCUGUGUCGUCCAAGGCGGGAACGUCGUGCGAGACGCUGGUCACUCGCUUGCUGCUCGAGUACUUGAUGCCCGCCUCAAAGUCUGUGAGCGUCGCGGGUUUGCGAGUGCUGUGCGGUGCUUGGCAGGAGUGCCUCAAUCGCAAUAAGGGCAUUCUAGCGGUCUGCGCUGGCCUAUGUGCAGAGUCGCUCGCGGAGGACUUGUGCCGCUGCGUGUCCAGCGUCACCAAGGCCCUCGUGAUGCACAAGCCCUACAAUGCGCCGAACCUCGUCUUUCUCCGCGCCUACCUCACCCGCGAGCAUAUGCGACUGCAGGCGGAGGUGGAGGCGGAGCAGGCCCCGCAGCCUGAGCACGGCUCUGCCCCCUCGCCGUCUCUGCUAGUCCCUGGGCCGGUGGAUGCUGUGCUGGAGGAGCGAUGGCGUACCAAACGUGCUCGCAUCGAUAUCGAUGCCUUCUUCCAGGACGACAACUCCCUCUGUCUCCCUCGCUGCACCGUGUGUGGUUGCCCAGCCGAAUGCUCCCAGGACGGCCCUACGUGGCUGCUACGCGUGUUACAGAAGGACAUCACAGAGCAUGGGGCCGUGGUUACACCGGUCGCGCUCGUGCGGCUCUGGCGUCUUUUCGGGCUCUACGCAAACCUGCAGCCGUGCUCGCGACGUUGCGUGCGUCACCUGGUGCGUUACGGCUUGUACGGCUACGGCGGUGUGAACUGCAGCUACGCCAGCGGCUACCCGCCACUCUCGAGCGCAGCAGGCGGCCACGCCGCGCUCCAGCGACUUCCUCUCGUCAACUUCAGCGUUGUGGACAUCGAGCGGGAGGUGGUCGAGGACGUCUGUGGCGGGGAGCUCAACUGCGCCUUGACCGUGGCAAGUGCACUGGCGGACGAGGAAGCGGCUCCCAUGGAUCCCUAUCUUCUCUUUGCGAUUGGUCGGCAGCUGCGCCGACAGUCGGUGCGCACCAUUGGCAUGGAUCUGGCCAGCGCCUGCGAGGCGGCACGGUUGGUCGGCUGUCUGCCUGUCAGCGAGGCGCCGUUCAAGUACCGUGGGCGCAACAGCACCGCCGAAGCCCCACCGCGAGACCUUGUCGCGGACUGGGCCACGUGGAGCAGCAGUAGCGGUGAGGCCACGGUGCGGAAGUGGCUCCACCGCGCCUUUGCUCACCGGCGGCAGCGGGUCUGCGUGGUGGAUGGCCCGCAUCGCGAUCUCUUCGAUAACAUACGCGCGGCGCUAUGGACGCUGCGGCGGCAGGCACGCUCUAUCUUGGUGACCGUGAAGUUUGUCGUGGCGUGGCUGUCGCUGCCGAACGGGGUCAUAGCGCCUGAUACGUCGGUCCACAAGCACGGCUUCUACACAACGGCAAAGGUAAUCGGGCAGAUCACGCUCCACAGUACGGUGUACAUCAUUCUCCAGUUCCCGUUCGGCAUCCAUGUCGGGUACAAGGGCUUCUUCUACCUUCCCAAGACCGUCUUUCUGCAGAUCGUCCGAGGGCUGGCCUUUGUCUUUCUGGACACUGUGGGGAUAGAGUAUCGCUCAGCCGGUCGAGCUGCGUGCGUGCACGGCUACGAGUUGGUUGGACGCCCCGUCGGCGCCACAUCGCCGGACGCGCUUGCCCUUCUGCGACGGCUGCUGAUGUGCUUAAUGGUGUUGGGACUGGAGCAGAGACAGGCUGCCGUCACAGUGUGGGGCGCCGCGCUUGGGUCGUGCGACGUGAAGGAAAUGCGACGCCUCUUGAGCCACGAGCAUCUGCCGGCGCCGCUGCGGUUUUUGCGCAGCUUAUUAGAGGCGAGGCAGGUGGCGAUGGUGGCGCCUGACCUCUCAGACUGCCGCCCCGGCAUGGGACGGCGACGUCAGGGUCAUGCAACGGCGUCGCGCACGUACUGGGAGCGAGUGCUGCUCUUCAGCCGCUUCCCGUCUCAGCUCCUGUUCUUCUUUAGUGAGCUCAUCGGCACUCGGGAAUGCUUCGAUUGGCUACAAGAGGCGCUACGCGCCGCAUCGGCCGUGCUCACGACCGCAAAGGACGGCGGUACAUCAGACCAAGCGGCACUGAGCUUGAGUUCGGUGAAGCAGGGGGCUGAUCUCAUGUCCCACCCACUCACCUCCACUGCUGAACGCCAGUGGAUCGUGACACUCCCAGCCCCGUCGCAGGUGGUCACCAUGGUUCGCGUUCCGGAGUUUUCUCUGCAGCUCGAUAGCACCCCGACAGGCGUCGCGGCAAGGCGGUCGACAUCGGCGUCGCAGCAGCGCAGGAGCGUGAGGCGCGAGCAGAUGAUAUCGAUGGCCCCCAAGCAUGCCGCGGCCAAGACCCCGAGUCCGCCGUCCGCUCUGCCGUUGGGCGAGAGAAGAAGAAAGACGCUGAGGCAGUCUGCUGUGACCAGCUCGGCGCCGAAAGGAUCGCUGAGGGCGAAGUCUGCCGAGAGCCAAGCGUCGGAGGAGGGGAUGAGCACCACUAACGCGGCUUCCACGGCCUUGCGGACGGAGAGCCGGCCCUCGUUUCCAUUUGGCCAGAACCUUCAGCAUCAGCUUCAUCGGAAGUGGGCGGGCGAAAGGGCAAAGCGGCAGGAGUCCCUUCAAGCAGCGUCGUCGGUUGGGAUUCUCGAGUUUCUACGUGCUCUUCGCCAGCCCAGAUCGGCUGUGAAGCAACUGAGAAGGGGUUCAAACAGCGCAUUGCAGAGGAUGCACGCAGAUGACAUGCACGCUCUCGACGCUUCGAAUUGCGGUGACGCGCCCGCGGCGAUUCCGGGACGACUUUUGGGCAAGCCGUGGCUGGUGUUGCCGUUUCCGGGGAGUACCGGCAACAGCAACAACACCGCUACUUCCUCCUCGUCACCCGUAUCCGACAUACUGCUCCUUUUCAUUGGUGAUACUGUGAGCGCCUACAGUCAGUGUGAGUCCAGACUCCUCUGUGGUCCAGUCGCAAUGUGUGACGAUCCUUUGCUAGUAGAUUUUCCUUUCCGCACGGGUGUUGACGCGGCGGUAGCGCACCCGACUGAGCCUCACCUCGCCUUCUUCUUCUCCGGGAGAGAGUGGCUGCUGUUUGAUUUCUACCUGGCCGAGUGCGUCGACGGUCCCUACGCGACGAGCAGCCACGGCCAAUUCCGUCGGCUGCCGUCCAUCUUUCAUGAUAGGGUGGAUGGCGUUGUGCACAUCCCUCAUACGCAGCUGCUCGUCUUCUUCCGUGACUACUGCUACGUUGUCUUCGAUACGUCCACACGGCACUGCGUCGGUGGCAUGGGCUUUCUCGACCCGCCGUCGAGGGAGACCGUUGGCCCAGGUGGCCCACCUGUGUUAGCGGGGCACAACUCCUCCUCCAUGCCGCCCGCGCUAAAGGACCUGAUCCGGACUCUGCAGCAAACAACCGCAGCGUCGCAAAAUGCCAAGUCCGCACAAAUGCAGCGAGACAAGUCAAGCGAUGUGGACAGUGACGCAGACGACGACGCGGCGCGGGCGAUGGCCGGUCCAAGCAGCAUCGGAACGACAGCGCUGCCGCUCCUGCUUUCCGUGCAGCUCCAGGGACUUCUGGGGACAGCACCCAUGACGGCCUUCUGCAUUCGGAGUGCCGACUCUGAGAAGAGCACAGAGGCCUGCUAUGUGGUGAGUCGCACCGGCGCCGUGAUACCAGUGUGCUGGCAGCCCCUGGAGGACGUUGCGUCGGAAGCUGAAACGCAGGAGAGCGGCGCGGGUGUGCGUCCUGAGCGGCAGCGCCGCUGGCUUCUGAAUGUACAGGAGCACUCAUCUCCCACUACAGAGACGCCCCUGCGGAACCUGCCGCUUCUCUUUCGGCAGUUCACCACAGCGGCGCUCGCGGGCUUGUGUAAGCUGGCCGUUGAGACAGAAUGCACGCUUACGCACCCAUGCACCGUCUCGGCUGCUUCCUCGCCACAGCUGAGCGUCUUUGAUCCUGAGAGGCAGGUGCAAACCAGUAACGUAUCCCCGCUCGCCGCCGUGGCCCCGCAUGACGCAGGCACAGAGAGAAACAGUGCCACUGCCAACACCUCUUCAGGAGCGCCAUACUCGCCUGAGGGCAGCUGUGGAAAGCCACUCUCGACCAGUCCCUUGACAAGAAUUACUUCCUCGCUGAUUGCGACAGAUCUGGGAGAGCGGGUGCCGCUGGCGCUAUCGCGCUGCUGGUCAGCGCAGGAAACUGGCAUCGAGUUUACGGGGAACUCGACCUGGCACGACGAAGUCCUCUUUUACGGCGACGCAGAGGAGCCGCAGCGGCCGCGUGCGUCUGAGAUAUCGGAUAGUCUCGCUGCCGAAGGCCAGUCGUCGCCACCGCCGCCGCAGCAGGAGGCCUCUGGGGGCGCCGCAGACGUGGACGGUGUGCAACGGGUAUCCUUCAUUGAAUAUGACCUCGGCGCCUCCGCUCCGCCGCGCAUCUUCACGGCACUUUUGCUGGUCCUCGACACCUCCGCGCUUCCUUCGUCACUUUUGCAGCUCUCCUCCUUGGUGGCCUCCGUGGACAGCAGCACCGAUGGCACGAUGUACUUUUCCCAGGCUCUUGUUCGAAUCACGAGUCCGGUGGUAGCGGCGCGAUGGGGUAGCGGCGCCGGGUCUGUGACUUUCUCUGCCGCGCGCUUUUGGAGGCUGCGAUUCCGCACGCCGGUGCCGGCCUGUCUCGGUGUUGUUCGUCUCUUCUGGAUGGAGACGGCCCCGGGCAGCUUCGCAGAAACGCAGCUGCCCGCGCCCACGGUGCUCUCGCCGUGCAUACCGGUAACGCUCACGGCGCCACCGCUACCGCGGGAGCCCAGCGCCGGUGAUGGCGAUGUCGCAGCCGCGCAGCCGUCGUCUCACAGCGGCAGAGCCGCCACCGGCGAUCCCCUCAUCAUUGAAGCAGAGGAGCUGCUCCAAGCAUCGAGGAAGCUGAUCUCAAGCGACAAUUUUCACCCCGUGUUCGCCGAUGACCCGAGUCGCAGCGGCGCCGGCUGGUUCGUCCCGCACGCGGUGAUGCCGGAGCUCGUGAGCUCCUCCAUUUCUACAUGUGUCUUCGUAUGCGCUUCCUCCAUACUGCAGCUGGGUUGGGCCCACCAGGGCGCAAGCAGUGCUUCACCACAAGCAGAGGCACAGCCCAUGGUGCGCCGCACGGGUUUCCGCGACAUACCCUACCCUUUUGUGCUUGGCUGGGACGCAGUCUUUUACGUCGCUCCACGCAAGCACCCAGGCAGGGUCGCCCUACUCCGCGGUGAUUGGAUGCUGCUGUGGGACCUUCACGAGCAGCGACCCCUUAGCGACGUGCUGCUGUGGCGCACCUCGGCACUGCUGGGCAAACUAGGGUCGCUGCCCAUCGCCACCGUCAUCGCUGUCAUCAAUUGCUGGUCUAGCGAGGAGGGAGACGCGGUGAUCGGUAUAUUUCACGUCGCGUCUUCGCUAGAGGAACGGGAGGUGAAGUACGUGGAGUUUGAUCUGGAAACAGGUGCGGUGCUUGAUCUCCCAGUGCUACUGGCCGCAUGUUUGACGAAUCGCUUCCGUGCACCGCCGCCGCCCCCUGGCAGCACUCUUCAUACAGUCUUGUGUACACCAAGCUCGCCGUCGACGUGGUACAUGUUUUGGGAUCGCAGCGUGCAAAGAGUUUCCAGGGCCGAACUCAUGGCCGAGAACGGCAAUGGCGGUGAUGAUGGUGUAGCUGCUGCCGACCCGCUGUCCGAGUCGCGUCUCUUCUAUUCGGUGCCGCUCUACCUGAGCGAGUGGGGCCAGCCGCAACACCACUGUAGCGUGUUGCUCGAUGUGCCGCAGCUCCUGAAAGACGCGCAAGGGGAGUCGGGCGACGACCUCAUGAUCACCGGCAUGCAACUCUACAGCGCCGGCGGCCGGGCUGGUGAGAGGACGUGCUGGCAAGUGCAGUGCAGCGAGAACGGCGGGGGCGAGUGGAAGGAUGUGGCAAUGCACUACCAAGCCGCUGGGGGCCGUGUGUGCGGCGACACGCUAUGGACGCCAACUGACGCCUGCGCGCUGAGCAAGUGCCCGUACUGGCGGCUGUCGCGUGUGGCGUCCUCGCAAGAUCCAAAUGCUGCCUUCGCUGCUAUGCCGUCGUCGACUGCAUCGGAGUCUGCGGUGGCUCAAUCAUACUCGCAGCUGCGCUUGCUUACCGUGCCACGACGGCGCUGUCGCCAGCUGCCGACGCGCAUUUCGGGCGACGCAGCAACAACACCAGUGGCAGACAUCAAUUCCUUCUUCUCCCAACGCGCUCCAGGAGUCGUGACGCUGUCGUUGCAGCCGUGUGCCUCGGCCACGGCCACUCCCUUGAGCCCUUCGCCUGACGGUGUUACGUACGAGCUGAUGUGGGACUACGGAUCGUCACCGGUGGCGUUGUGCAGCGUUGCCUUCGAGCCUCGCGAUACAUCGCCGUUCACCGUUCAGUGCACGUGGACGAUGUGGCACAGUAGCACGGCUGCCGGGCCGGGCAUCUGCUCCGCCACGACGACAAAGCUGAUCCGCGGUAGCGACACUUGCGGGAGGUGCACACUUUCCUGGCUGCCAGAUGGCCCCUAUCGCUACUGGCGCCUGCAGUGUGAAUGGAGGACGAUAGCGGGUGCCGCCUCCGGUGAUUGCCCCCCGUCCUCUCUCAUCAUCUCGUCUUUCAGCGCACACGAGUACGACGGCCCCCUUGUUACCGUGUACAACGCCGACGGCGGCUGCCUGAGAGCGACACCACUGUUGUGGCCGAUGGCAGAUCGUGCGACUAAGUCGCCAUAUCAGCUGCAGUGUGUCGCCAACAGCGUUAUCCAGCUAAUGAACGUCCCGCUGGGCCUGACGCUCUGGGAGACAGAGUUCUUUGGGGAAAGGGGCAGCUGCACGGCUCGCAUCGCCGUGGAGUCUACCAACGACGCAAGACAAUGGUAUAUCGCAGCUGAGACGACGAUUUGCACGGCAAUGGCGACUGCGUCAAGACCGCAGCUGUGCUCGCUCUCGUGGCCGAGCUGCGGAGCACAUGUCCUCUGGCGUCUGCGCGUGCUUGAAUCAUCCGCUGACGUGACGCUGCACUUGACGCGUGUGCGGCUCGGCCACCGCCCGACGGCCAGCCACAUCUCCAUCUUUGUGCCCCAGCCCACGACGAGUAAUCCAAGCUCUGCAGCGACAGCGGCCGCGACCGUCGGAGCCUUGCACAGGAACUUGUCCGUCACGGCUGUGGCGGAAGCACCAGUCGAGCACGCAUCCGUCUCGAUGCUGAGGUUGGCGCGUCCUCAGCGCAUGGUGCGGGUGCGCGCCACGCUUCCGAGCAGCGCCGCCCGCUACCACGUAGAGUACCUGGGCCUUGAUGGGACUUCGUGGCUUUUCGCAGCCGUGAUGGAUAGUGGCUGUGCAGAUGCACUGUACAGCGCCUACUCGUCGAACAGUUUUUCCGCGGUUGUGGCGUCCGUCUCGUGGGAUGGCACCCUUGUUUCCCCCAGUACCCACUGGCGCCUUCGCCCGGUGAAUGAAACCUCUCUCGAUCAGCCGCAGGGUGUGGAGUGGUUCGAGCACAGCAGUGAGUAUGCGGAGCUGGUCGACACAGCAGAGAUACCAGGCAUGAUCGUGAGCACUAGCGGGUUCACGGAGGUACAUCUUCCAAGCAUGCUGAGCGGCAGCGCACCGCACCGCAGGACAACGGAGGAAUCCACGGCGCGCAUAGCUCCCCCGAUGCCGGUGCUGCAGUGCGCCGCGCAGAGUCUGCAGAGCUCAGACACGGCGCAAGAUUCGACGCCGAGUGCGGUGACGUGGUCCUUUCUCUCUCCGGUGAUGUUUGACCAGGUUCUGCUGUUCGUUCAGUACACCGUAGACAAACCUGUCGCGCCCGCUGUCGCGGAGGCACUUGGAGAGGAGAGUGGCGGCUCCGCGUCAGCAGACGCGGAGGCGCCAGCGCCAGCGCCGCCAGCACCGCAGGUGUCCGCGAAUCAGCCGCUUCAGCAGGUACUCGUAGAGACAAGCGAUAAUGGGCAGGAUUACGUCGCCGUUGCCGAAACCGUGCUGCGCCUGUGCGACCAAACCGUCUCGCUUCGCUGGGUGGAGGUGCCUAAGGCGGCCUUUUGGCGGCUUCGCUUUACCCGACGAGUGGUGCCGCCGGAAGCGUUGCCAGGAGAGGCGCCACUGCCGGUGGACAAGCCAUUCACCUUCACUCUUAGCUUGUACGCAGCACGGUGGCUGAUUCGACGUGGUGGCCACGCUCUUCUUGCGCAGGUUGCGAAGCCAACACCGGGGCACUACACCAACACCAUCUUCCGCUCAUGGAUCUCUGAAGCCUUCAGUCGUGAAGGUGCUUUUAUGCAGUCGUGCCUGCAUGCGUUUGAGGAGUACACGCGCGCGCAGAAUCAACCGCGGCAGACGGACGCCAUAAGCCGACUAGGGCAGGUGGCAGGCACUGUGCAGAAGAUGAAGCAGAUGUACCAGUCCUUUCUGCAGAAGGCCGCAAAGGAGGCUGGGAGCUACAUGCGGCUGGGCGGCGAGGAGGCUGCGCAGGAGGCAGACGGCAGAAGCUCGCGCGCGGUAGCCCCUCUGUUGCCACCUUCAAUUCCUGCUGAAGUUUCGGAGUGGCUCUCGAAGGAGCAUCUCUCGUCGGAUAUCAUCUACCUUCUCGUGGCCUCGACGACAGCCACGUCGAUCGGCGGCCCGCAUGUGCUACACCUCGCCGAGCUUCUGAAUCAUCCGCUGGCGUUCCGGCAGGCGCUGCAGUUCACGAAGCGGACAACGUCCUGGUUCUAUCCGUGUCUGGAAGUCGUCGGCCCCCUCGCGGAGGACUGGUACGGCUUCCCGGCUUCUAGGGUGUGCGCUUCUCUUUCCGUGUUCUGGAGUCUCUCCACUCUGCUCCAGCGUCAGCUUGGCGCGCUCCUCUCCACGGCGGACGCGAUCACACCGCUGAGUGAACACGUCGCAAGCCCGCUCGUUGUCGUUCGCGUCACUGAAUCCAACUGGGAGCCAAUCCACCACUUUCCGACCGUGGCACCGCUCCUCUACGCCGUUGGUUUCCACGAACGACCCUUUACGAUGGCCUUCGCAAUCAACGACAUCGUUUUCACGCCGCCGUAUGCCAUGGGCGUCCCCAGCACCCGUGACUCACAGCCUCUUGUGAGCCCGUACCCUUACAUGAUCGCCGCGGGUGUCAACUUUGUGCAGCAAUGCCCGCUGGCGUGCUGCCCGGCCCCAGUGAUGGAUGUGCUGCGCUACAUCCUUCCGGCAAGCGCCUUCGUGGUGGAUGCAAGAGGGAACGCGAUUGUGCUGACCACAUUGGUGCUGACUGUCGGCUCUCUUCGCGCGGGCAGCGGAGUCGGCGGCGAGGAGCGCAGCGCGGUGCUGCGCUUCACCGUGUCCGGUAAUGGUGUCAACUUUGGUCUCACUGGCCUCGUCAUGGAAUCGAUCGAGUUCGAGGUGUUGAUGCUAAGCGCCGAUGGCGUCUCCGCGGACCGCGACGCACCUGCGGAGCAGCGCUUCCAUCAGAUGAACUUUGUCUCUCAUGGAGCACGCUUUGUAGGCGGCGCUGGUGCCUUGGCGGGAGGACGGCCAGCGGCACAGCCGGAGAAUGAUGUGUCAACCCCUGAAGUGGAACUUCCUUUGAGCUUGAUGGGUGCCGUGGAUAGCGACGGGCUGCCCUUGGUUAGCCUCCGCGGCGAUUUCGGAAACGCUCGCUUUGCCACGGUUGCGGAGCUCCCUGGCGCCGUAGUGACUCACCUGCAGUUCACAACCAUCUGCCAUGUGGAAGGCUCCGUACCCGUGGUGGACGCAUCCUCGACUGGAGGCGGAGAAGGCGACAGCAACGUCGCGCAUUGGGUCUUUGCGCCGCUGGAGGGCGAGGGACAGGUGCUCCUCCCGGGGGUGUUGUGCAGCUGCAACUGUGCCUGCACGGUCGACACCACGUGGGGAGAAAGUGAAUUACCGGUGCGACUGAGUAGCUUUCACAUCGCGGUGGAUCGCUGCGCUGUCGAGGAUCUGGAGGCGAUCUUUCGCGCGUGCAGGGGCGACGAGCGAGACCUCGGCCAGGAGCUGUUUUUGUCGGCAAGGCGGGACGCCACGGCGUAUGAUGUGGGUGGGUUGCGUAUUGAAGUGGCUGCCUCAUUGCGCGUGUUGACGGGCCACGUCGUAGACGACCGAGUGCGCUUGUCACUGAAGGGCAUGGCGGUCCUGAGUCUGGAGAACACGGCUAUACCUGAUGCGACGCUCGAGAUGGACUGUGAGGCCGGCUUCAUCGCUCUGACGGCGCGGUGCGUGCACUCGCUCGUGGUUGGCGCCAUUCUCGUAGAGGGAUGUACGGAGAAGCCCAUCUUGAUGCAGCUUCUCCGCCCAGUCGGUGUGCCUCGGGGUAUUGGUGAGAGGACAGACCAGGGCUCAGCCCCCGCUUCGGCAAUCCGUUUCUUGGUGUGUGGCUACGGUCGCCUCUUCAGCGCCCAUCACAUGGCGCAGGUGACGCUCGAAUUGUCGCAAAGCACGGAGCGGUUCAACUCCGUGACUUUAGUCGCCGCGUCUUUGCGCCACGUCGGCCUCGCCGUUACUCUCCAGGAUUGUGUUGUGUCGGAAGUGUGGCGCUUCGCUCAGAUGACCAUCAAUGAGCGUGCUCUACGAGGCGUAAUUGAGCGUGACAUGGGUGGUGUGCCGAUCAUUGCGGCGAUGCAGGCUCACCAAAUCCCGUUGGCACUCUCUAUCGCCUCGAUAGCCCCAGAGCCGUACGACCUUGUGGCGCAGCGCCUGUCGUGCCGCGUGAAGGGUCUGCUCUAUGGCACAUGCUUUGACGUGGUCACCUCUGUUGUCGCGCCUGACGACUCCGACGACCUGUGGUCCCUUCUUGGGGCCCAGUGCAUCCCUGCAAUGCUCGAGCAGUGCGAGGCAAAUCUGUGGGCCUCCUAUGCUAACGUUAUUGGGCUGCGCGAGACCAGCAGUGGCUGCCGCCCCGACACGGACGCCACCGUAUAGAACGAGUGUUGUGAGACUGCAUUUCCGUUGCAGGAUUCUUCCUGGUCUGUUAGUCGUUUGUUUCCUUGGCUGUACUUGGCUCUCGCACGUCUUUGUGAGGGGAUGUACUUGUUUCGCAGCAUGCAGAGCUCCAUCGUUGGCGGCUGUGUUCCGUGCCUUUAUUUUUCUGGUCAGGUUCCCCUUCUCCACUUCCAUGUAUAGCCCCGGAGAUGCGCCGAGAAUCUCAAAUUGCAACUAGACCGCUAAACUCGGAAUACCCUCCCACACACCCCAUUUCGCGCAUGCUCCGGAAGGCCGACGAUCUUGUUCGCUCGAGUUUAGUUUCGCGCAUCUUCGUCGGCUCUCUCCUCACCUCUUCUCCUGCCCCUCCCCUCCUCCCUCCCUCUCUCUCUUGUGGGAG